CAGCAGCUUGCAUAAACUGCCGCCGGUGUCCUCUCUUCUCUAGCUUCUCCAAGACUUUCUGCUCUGUCACUAAACAAGAACUGUAAUACUGUGAUUUUCUGCAUAUUUCAUUUUAUUCUGGAAAGAAACCGUUCAUUCAGGUACGAGGGAACUGUCUGAACAUGUUUAACCACUGAUCAAACUUCACUUGUUUUUAAGGGAUGGAUGUUAUAUAAAGAAGGUACGAGAAAUCACAAAACAUAAUGUAACCAAAUGCUACAAUUUACUUAAUAAUAAUAUCUCAGUAUGUUAAAUAACCAUAAUGUUAAUUAACACUUUAUUAUUACAACUGUAAUACAAUAAUAUAUAUGCAGAACAACCAAUUUUAGUUUUUGAAUCAAUCAUAUCUCUCAUUAAACGCUGUGUGAAAUGUU